rnacentral:rRNA from 1 species
AGAGUUUGAUCCUGGCUCAGAACGAACGCUGGCGGCAUGCCUCAUACAUGCAAGUCGAACGCAAGGCUUCGGCCUUGAGUGGCGCACGGGUGAGUAACGCGUGGGAACCUACCCUUCUGUGGGGGAUAACCGAGGGAAACUUCGGCUAAUACCGCAUACGCCGGGAAACCGGGAAAGAUUUAUCGCUGAAGGAUGGGCCCGCGUCGGAUUAGCUAGUUGGUGGGGUAAUGGCCUACCAAGGCUUUGAUCCGUAGCUGGUCUGAGAGGAUGAUCAGCCACACUGGGACUGAGACACGGCCCAGACUCCUACGGGAGGCAGCAGUAGGGAAUAUUGGACAAUGGGCGAAAGCCUGAUCCAGCAAUGCCGCGUGAGUGAGGAAGGCCUUAGGGUUGUAAAGCUCUU